AUUGAACGCUGGCGGCAGGCCUAACACAUGCAAGUCGAGCGGCAGCGGGAAAGUAGCUUGCUACUUUUGCCGGCGAGCGGCGGACGGGUGAGUAAUGCCUGGGAAAUUGCCCAGUCGAGGGGGAUAACAGUUGGAAACGACUGCUAAUACCGCAUACGACCUACGGGGGAAAGCAGGGGACCUUCGGGCCUUGCGCGAUUGGAUAUGCCCAGGUGGGAUUAGCUAGUUGGUGAGGUAAUGGCUCACCAAGGCGACGAUCCCUAGCUGGUCUGAGAGGAUGAUCAGCCACACUGGAACUGAGACACGGUCCAGACUCCUACGGGAGGCAGCAGUGGGGAAUAUUGCACAAUGGGGGAAACCCUGAUGCAGCCAUGCCGCGUGUGUGAAGAAGGCCUUCGGGUUGUAAAGCACUUUCAGCGAGGAGGAAAGGCUGAUGCCUAAUACGCAUCAACUGUGACGUUACUCGCAGAAGAAGCACCGGCUAACUACGUGCCAGCAGCCGCCGUAA
rnacentral:rRNA from 1 species